AACGAACGUUGGCGGCGUGGAUUAGGCAUGCAAGUCGAACGAAUCCCGGGGGCAACUCCGGGGGAAGUGGCGAAAGGGGCAGUAAGGCGUGGGUAACCUACCCCGAGGACCGGCAUAGCCUCUCUAACGAGAGGGUAAUUCCGGGCGCGGUCACCGGGUCGCAUGACCUGGUGAUGGGAUGAAUUUCGCCUCGGGACGGGCUCACGUGGUAUUAGCUUGUUGGUGAGGUAACGGCUCACCAAGGCCGAGAUGCCUAGCAGGUGUGAGAGCACGACCUGCGCCACUGGCACUGAGACACUGGCCAGACUCCUACGGGAGGCUGCAGUCGAGGAUCUUCGGCAAUGGGCGCAAGCCUGACCGAGCGACGCCGCGUGUGCGAUGAAGGCCUUCGGGUUGUAAAGCACUGUCGAGGGGGAGAAAAGCCCGCAAGGGUCUGAUCUAUCCCUGGAGGAAGCACGGGCUAAGUUCGUGCCAGCAGCCGCAGUAAGAC
rnacentral:rRNA from 1 species